CUCCUAAUUUUUGUUUACAUGGUGUUGUGAACCACCAGUGUGUUUUUGUUAUUAUAUGUGGGUAUAAUUUUUCUAAAAAUGACAUUCCUAAUAGCAUAUCUUUUGUUGUAAGUUCGAAGUUAUACAUUUCUUCUAUAGUUAAUAUCUUAUCACAUAUUUGUAUUUUUAUAUUUUUUGCCUUAUAUGUGAUCAUGCUUCCUUCAUUAUUAAAUCCUG
rnacentral:lncRNA from 1 species